CCCAAAAUAGUCCUAGGCGGUUAGGAUACGUGGCUUUCACCCACGCGACCCGGGGUUCGAGUCCCGGUUUGGGAA
rnacentral:tRNA from 1 species